UUGCCAAGACUUGGAUGGCCCAAAUGACUAUGAAUAAAAUUAAGAGAAGUUGUGGAAGGAGAAGCUGUGGAAGCAAAAGAUUUGGAGUAGAGAAAUGGUACAAUCAUUGUGACUCAUGUCCUGCUCCAAUCAUCUUUCCCAAACCCCAGUCUUGCACAACAAUAGAGUCAAUGGUAAAGGUGAUAGAAGAAUUAAGGUUUUUAGUCAACUUACUAAUGGAGAUUAA
rnacentral:misc_RNA from 1 species